rnacentral:tRNA from 2 species
AGGAAUUUAGGAUAACAUAAACCAUGGACCUUCAAAGCCCAAAACAGAGGUGCAACCCCACUAAUUCCUG